rnacentral:sRNA from 1 species
UACUUUAGAUAAAAGCUCUUGACUUUCAGGAGGUUGCUUCUUUAGACUUUGAGGUAAAAUUACAGUGAGCAACUCUGGCUUUUCAGCCCUUAAAGCACCCCGGAUAACAGCUGCAUUAGUCCCAGAAGCACCAGAUGUGAAUAUAUGAUUUUUCGUUAUGACCAUAGCAUAGCUCAGGAUCUCAAUAAGCUGUUGAUGCAUAAACCCCAUGUUACGGGUACCAAAAAAACCUAUAGCCCGCGGUCCCUGUUGCUGAAUAGCCAGCAACUCCUGCAUUACCACUAAAUCUGGAAUCGACUUAUACUCUGGAGUAGCAACCGUCGCAGUACCCCUAACAAGUGUCUCAACUUGAGUAGGAAUAUUUGAACCAUUAUCAUCGUCUGGCCCAAACAUAAGAGAAUCCUCUAUUCCUUGACUCCUUUCACCAUCUUCAUGCCCAUCUCUUCGCAUGUAUCCGCAGAGAAACU